rnacentral:rRNA from 1 species
CGUGCUUAACACAUGCAAGUCGAACGAAAAGAGGGAAAGAGCUUGCUCUUUCCGGAAUUGAGUGGCAAACGGGUGAGUAACACGUAAACAACCUGCCUUCAGGAUGGGGACAACAGACGGAAACGACUGCUAAUACCGAAUAAGUUCCAAGAGCCGCAUGGCCCAUGGAAGAAAAGGUGGCCUCUACCUGUAAGCUAUCGCCUGAAGAGGGGUUUGCGCCUGAUUAGCUGGUUGGAGGGGUAACGGCCCACCAAGGCGACGAUCAGUAGCCGGUCUGAGAGGAUGAACGGCCACACUGGAACUGAGACACGGUCCAGACUCCUACGGGAGGCAGCAGUGGGGAAUCUUCCGCAAUGGGCGAAAGCCUGACGGAGCAACGCCGCGUGAGUGAUGACGGCCUUCGGGUUGUAAAACUCUGUGAUCCGGGACGAAAAGGCAGAGUGCGAAGAACAAACUGCAUUGACGGUACCGGAAAAGCAAGCCACGGCUAACUACGUGCCAGCAGCCGCGGUAAUACGUAGGUGGCAAGCGUUGUCCGGAAUUAUUGGGCGUAAAGCGCGCGCAGGCGGCUUCCCAAGUCCCUCUUAAAAGUGCGGGGCUUAACCCCGUGAUGGGAAGGAAACUGGGAAGCUGGAGUAUCGGAGAGGAAAGUGGAAUUCCUAGUGUAGCGGUGAAAUGCGUAGAGAUUAGGAAGAACACCGGUGGCGAAGGCGACUUUCUGGACGAAA